GAACUUCCAACUUCUAGCAUAAAAAAAGAAAUGAUCAGUUUACAUCCUUCUAUUUCUCGAACAUAACAUAAUACAGAGGUUGGUGGCACACAUUUAUAUGUUAGGGAAUCAAAAGUAAUUUGUGGCUCAGGUAGUGUUGGUCAGGACGGGUUGAAGCAGGUAUCAAACACCACCAAUGAGAAAAUUCUCAAUGACACCCUGAGGUUUGAACUCGGGACCACAUGCGUCAAAAUAUACGUUGUUUCUACCUACUAGGCCAAGCUGACUCUGGACAGAUGGGUAGACUGGACUCACGGUCAGAUGACUUAUCGUCUCACCCAAGUGAUAUCCGGCCACGGCUGCUUUAACGAGUACUUACACCGUAUUCGCAAAGCAACCGCGCCGGCGUGCGCCCACUGUUUGGAUCGCCUAGGAGAGGCAGACAGCGCUCAACACAUCCUCUUCUGAUGCGAGGCGUGGGUCCUGGAGUGGGACUCUUUGAAGUCCCUACUAGGGUCCACGUUUCAAGUCGGGUCCAUGGUGGACCUGAUAUUGAGGAGCCGGGAGGCGUGGAGGAUCGUAUUCAUAAUAUUCGUAAUAAUUCACACCACCACGUAUUGAACCUGCUUUUGAUUAAUUUCGGGCUGAUUCACAACGUGGUGGUGUGAAUUAUUAAGACGGCGUAGGCCGCCCUGAAGUAAUGCCUAACGGCAGUUCCAGAACGGCCCACAGUAAUGCUGACCACUAAAAAAAAAGGUCAGGCCGACUGCAAUACAUUUUUUAAGAAAAGAAGAAACUAACUUUAAAAAAUUUUUGUCAAAUUGCGGUUAAUAAGUUAUCUAUUUCACGGUCCUGUACUACAGUUCAACACUAUUUUAAUAAUCACCAAAGUUUAACUUUAACUAUCCAAAAUCACUAUAGUGGUAUUGAGCUUUUUACUAAUUUCACAAAUUAAAAUAAAAUCUCUCAAUAAUUAGUUUCAUGAUAUUAAAUAUUGAAAUAUGAGUUUAUUUUAUUAAAUAAAUGGAUAAUAUGAACGAUUUUACUUGAAAUGGAAGUAUUUGUAAGCGUAAUAUUUGUAAACCAAGCGCGUAAUUAUUAAUGGAGGCUAUGGUCAUUUACAAACUCUAAUACAACUUAUAAUUCUAAAAUCUGAAAAUGUUGAGGUGAAAAUAGAAUUUUUUAGGAGAAAACAACAAAAAUUAUUAAAUAUUAUCUCGUAUGCCAUCAUAAAUGCAAUUAAUAAUAAAAAUAGUUAAAACGAUCAGCACAGUAAUAUUAAAAUGAUAUGAAAACUUCUAUAAUUAGUUAGACAUUAACCAUAAUUUUAAAACAAAAAUAAUUCAAUAGCAUUAAAAAUAAAAAAUAUUAUAAAAAAGGACAUAAAAUAUUUUUAGUACAUUAGUAGAUAGUGACUAAGUUUAUUUUUAAAGUUGUUUGAUAGCACUCGGUUUACAAAUAAUUGUUAGUACUUUAUAACGACUGGUUUUAUUUAAACGUUAAAUAUUUGAUGCGGGCCCCUAUUAUACCAUGAUAGAAUAAGGAGGACUACAUAUCACAUAUAAUCUUAAAAAACAUAAAUUAAAAUAAAUUUAUUCAUCACAAAAGAGACUUACGUUUUACUUGUAUUUAAGUUGAGUUAAAUUAAUUUCAGAAAGAUGAAGUCAAGUUGAAAGUGAACUGAUAUUUUUUUUAAUUUUUGUAAAGUUAUAAGUAACUUGACCAAAAAAACCCUUAAAUAAUUUUUUUUCUAAUUAUACUCUUAAUUAAUAUCGAUAAUGAUAAUUUUCUGUCUUCUCCAACAAUUUAAGAUGCUGUCUGAUAAUAAUUAUCAGAGAAAUAUAAACAUUGCCGCAACUAAUAACCAAGAGACCACCAGUGUCACAUUUCUGGCGAGAAUCGUUCACAUAUGAUAUUUUAUUUUUUAUUAUUUAAAAAAAUUAAAAUAUAAUAACAAGAUAGCUUCCACGUAGAAAAUGAUAAAAACUACAAUUAUUUGUUCUUCUCUUCAUUGUCCCCUUCUUGUAAUUGUAUGAUGGAUUUACACUUGAUAUAAAUAGUCAAUAUAUAAAUCUUCAAUAAAAAAAAUAACAACGAACUUAAAACACAGCACACUAGUACCCCCAAUAUUAUAUUCAGAUAACAAUGUCAAUAUACUACAAUGGUUAUUCAAUAAUCAUAGAUAUUCCAUAAUUCUAAAUUUAAACAUAUUAAAUGCUUAGGUGAGCGAGGGGAUUAUGUAUUACUUUUUCUGUGUUAGCACACGCCAUUGUUUAGCGCAUGAUUAGAUAUAAUACAGGUCUAAGAUAAAAUAAAGUAUAUUAUAUUAUUCGUGGUUUAAGGUGCUUAACAUGAUAAGGAAUAUUUUAUUGUUUUAAUCCAAUGUAUUUACUGAUCCAACCUACUGAGAUAUUACAAAAUCAGAUGGUUUUUAAAUUUUUUGAUACAAUACUAGUAUUGUAUCAAAUUAAAGUUUAAAAUAAAUAUUAGAAAAAAAAUCGAGCAUCAUUAAAUACAAAUUUUAUGUAAUUUUUAUAUUAGUAUGCUAAAUUAACGUGUUAUUCAAGUUACGAACUACAUUAAAAGUAACUCACUAAUAUAUAUAUAUUAGGGUGGUCCUUAUUUUUCGACUUCAUAAAUUUAGAGUCAUGGGCUCAAAAUUUCGUUAGGUUCACUGAAAAAAUGAAACUGGUAAAAUUUGAGUACAAUAAGUCAAAGUCACGUGCCUCAAAGGGGUUGAAGUUCUACAAAAAUGGGGUGGAUUAUCUUUUUUUGAGUGUACGCUCUUUAUUUUUGAAGUUUCGCCAAAAACACAAAGAACAAUUUUUAUAGAACUAAAUGUAACAAAAAAUAAGUACCAGCUUGGAGAAAUCCUGAAGUAUACAUCCUCAACACACUUCGUCCAGCACUGAAAAUUUGUUUAGGUUUUUAAUUGUUUAAUAUAAAACUGAAUGCACAGCCGCAUUUAAGAAUAAUGAUGCCUGGAGUACUCAAUUCUGCCGCACAUAAUGGCUUAUUUAUUUUGAUAUUAAUUUUAUUUUUAAUUUGAAUUAAAGAGUCUUAAUUUAAUGA